CACAUCACUCGAUCAAAUUAGUGC
rnacentral:siRNA from 1 species